rnacentral:rRNA from 1 species
UACGGAGGAUGCAAGCGUUAUCCGGAAUGAUUGGGCGUAAAGCGUCCGCAGGUGGCUAUGUAAGUCUGCUGUUAAAGAGUGAGGCUCAACCUCAUAAGAGCAGUGGAAACUACAUGGCUAGAGUGCGUUCGGGGCAGAGGGAAUUCCUGGUGUAGCGGUGAAAUGCGUAGAUAUCUGCAGGAACACCCGUGGCGAAAGCGGCGCGCUGGACCACUACUGACGCUGAGGAACGAAAGCUAGGGGAGCAAACAGG